GGGGGAAGAAAGUAGAGAACGUACAACUGGAACUUGACGCAGCUAGCUGGGAACAAGCGUCAGCUUCGGUAAACAGCUCCAUGCUAUUGUUUUAACCAAAUCAAGUGUGGAUCAGGGUAGAAGCGUAGGUAUGAUUUAAGAUAGUAACUAAGGAAUAGGAUAAUCAGUAUCUAGGGGUGGGGGUUAGUUAACAUGUGUAUAAUUUAAACUAUAAAAAUCACGAAUCGACUCUGUAUGCUUUGGACAUCAGAUUUGGGUGUAUUAUCACCCCGGUGUCCCGCGCGCUGGAAUAAAGAACCGCAUAUGAUCGCCUCUGUGUGGUUAUAUGUUUUCCUACGCUAACAUUUUUGGCGACCCAGAUGGGACCUUGUGGGCGCAGCCAGGACCCCGUGACCCGAUCACGCUCCAGCCGGCACCAGGUGAUUUCUCGGGGAGCCCAUCGGAGCCGCGACCCUCGCCGCUCACAACGACCCCUGGUGAGAGCUCGGCUCCGAAGUGUUCUCGUAUAGAACAGACCACUGGCCCUAGAGAAUCCAGUCCACAAUAUCGAACCAGGAGAUGAAGUAUACAUCAAAACCUGGAACGAAGAACCACUAAAAGAGAAGUGGACUAGUCCCCAUCAGUUUACAAAAUCCUGAAGAGAGAGAUACAGAAAAAGGCAUCUUAGAACAGGACCAUAAUGAAGGCAUUGGCACAGAACCCAGCACCUUCAAUCCGCAACAACAUCCCGGACAAAGCCUAUAACAACAGAAAAUUUGAAGAUGAACAUCCAGUAUGAACUCUGAAACCUAAUGGACUGUAUUAAGUGAAAGCAUUUACACUUAGUAUAUUAGAGUGAAAAUACUUUCAAAGGGAGGAAUGUUGGUGGAGGGUUAAAAAAUAUAAUUUCUAGAUUGAGCAAUGUGUAGGGGGAAGAAAGUAGAGAACGUACAACUGGAACUUGACGCAGCUAGCUGGGAACAAGCGUCAGCUUCGGUAAACAGCUCCAUGCUAUUGUUUUAACCAAAUCAAGUGUGGAUCAGGGUAGAAGCGUAGGUAUGAUUUAAGAUAGUAACUAAGGAAUAGGAUAAUCAGUAUCUAGGGGUGGGGGUUAGUUAACAUGUGUAUAAUUUAAACUAUAAAAAUCACGAAUCGACUCUGUAUGCUUUGGACAUCAGAUUUGGGUGUAUUAUCACCCCAGUGUCCCGCGCGCUGGAAUAAAGAACCGCAUAUGAUCGCCUCUGUGUGGUUAUAUGUUUUCCUACGCUAACAA